CGCGAACGGGUGAGUAACACGUGGGUAACCUACCUAGAUGACCGGGACAACCCGAGGAAACUCGGGCUAAUACCGGAUGUGCUCCUUCCCUUCAAGGGGAUUGAGGAAAGAUAGCUUCGGCCUUCGCAUCUAGAUGGGCCCGCGGCCCAUUAGCUUGUUGGUGAGGUAACGGCUCACCAAGGCUUCGAUGGGUAGCUGGUCUGAGAGGACGAUCAGCCACACUGGGACUGAGACACGGCCCAGACUCCUACGGGAGGCAGCAGUGGGGAAUCUUGCGCAAUGCGCGAAAGCGUGACGCAGCAACGCCGCGUGAGGGAAGACGGCCUUCGGGUUGUAAACCUCUUUCAGGAGGGACGAAGGUUCGCCGGUUAAUAGCCGGCCGGAUUGACGGUAC
rnacentral:rRNA from 1 species